UUCCCGGGUCUUGUACACACCGCCCGUCACGCCAUGGAAGCUGAUUGCAACAGAAGUGGUCCGCAAGGGCCCCGAAGCUGUGGUUGGUGACUGGGCG
rnacentral:rRNA from 1 species